GGCCUAAACCCAUUGGGCUUUUAUUCAAGCAUUGGAUGACUUGAAAUAAUAAAAGUCCAAAGCCCAAACAAACAACAAAGAGGCCGGCCACUUUAAGGUGGAAAGGGUGAGAUAUUUAGUCAAGUGUUGACUAAGUUUUCUUUUGUCUAUAUAAGGAACUUUAUAAGAUAUUGUUCAUUAGGGUUUUUGUGUGGUUAAAACAACAAAGA
rnacentral:lncRNA from 1 species